AUCCUUUUGUGUUUCAUAAGCGUGAUGGUUGGAUGUUCACGCACAUGCGUGAUAUGUGCCGCCCUCAAACCUUGUUACAUACCGGCACAUUACCCAUCUGACA